rnacentral:lncRNA from 1 species
UCAGGUACCAUUGCUAGAUGGUCACUUCGAUUAGUAUAGGAAUUGGUUCCUGUGCUACCAGCUUAGGUUCGAACCUGCGGGGUCACACACAUUAGAGGUUUAUAUCUGAUCUGAUGACUGAUGAAGAGUCCUAAUGCUUGUGGACUAUGAUUCCUAUGUGUCUGGGACUUUGUGAUCAAGAAUCAGGAUUCUCUGAUCGUGAGUCGCACACAUUUUGGGUACCGAG